rnacentral:rRNA from 1 species
CAGCCGUAAACUAUGCGCGUUAGGUGUAUCGGUGACCACGAGUUACCGAGGUGCCGAAGGGAAACCGUGAAACGUGCCGCCUGGGAAGUACGGUCGCAAGGCUGAAACUUAAAGGAAUUGGCGGGGGAGCACCACAACAGGUGGAGCCUGCGGGUUUAAUUGGACUCAACGCCGGAAAUACUCACCGGAUAGGACAGACAUAUGAUAGUCGGGCUGAAGACUCUACUUGAUGAUCUGAGAGGUGGUGCAUGGCGUCAGUGACU